UGGGGGAUAUUGCACAAUGGGGGGAACCCUGAUGCAGCGACGCCGCGUGGGCGAUGGAGCGUUUCGGCGCGUAAAGCCCUAUCAGCAGGGAAGAGAAUGGACGGUACCUGACUAAGAAGCCCCGGCUAACUACGUGCCAGCAGCCGCGGUAAUACGUAGGGGGCAAGCGUUAUCCGGAUUCACUGGGCGUAAAGGGAGCGCAGGCGGCACGGCAAGUCCGGUGUGAAAGCCCGGGGCCCAACCCCGGGACUGCACUGGAAACUGCCGGGCUGGAGUGUCGGAGGGGCAGGCGGAAUUCCUGGU
rnacentral:rRNA from 1 species